UGGUCAGAGCGCCUAGAAAGGGACCGGGCCGGCCGCCAUAUUGGAGCCCUGGAGCUGCGGCGGGCCAAGGCUUCGUGGGGCUCGUGGAGCUGAGAGGUGGCAUGGUGUCUGACCCCUGCCCCAACCACUGAAUUUUCGUUACGUCCUGGAUUGCAAAGGACCUCAGAGCAAUCUUUGGUAGAUAACAUGAUCACGAAGGAUUAUAGCUUUGCCCUGAUAAUGACAAAGGAAGUAUCUACCAGAAGAAGUUAGCACUUAAUCUUUCUUACCCCACCAGCGAAUGUAAACGACAUUGAAAAGGGACUACAAGUAAGCAAUCUUACUCGGACUGAUGCUGAAUGAACUAAUGCUUGUAUUCAAAGUUGAUAACCAUGGAAAACUUUUUUGUUACCUCUAUAUUAAUUGUGCAAAAUAAUGUGUUUCGUUGUGACAUCUUCAUGCAAGUAAUGUUAGUUAACACGUUCAUCAACCCCUUCCCUUACCCACCAAUGAAAAUGCAUUCAGAUUACUUAAAGGACUUUGGAGCCUAUUUGCUCUGCAUCUCAAAUUACACCUUUUCCCCAGUAACUAAAACAGUACUGUGUGUUUGUUUUUCAGGUUCUGAGGUUCACUAGAGAAAGAUACUAGAAGACCUGCUGAGGGUCUCUGAGAAGUUAAAAAUGCUGAUAUGCAUAAUUUGUGUAUUUUAUUUUUCCCUCCUGAGCUUUUCGAAGGAGAUGCAUAGCUUGGUGGUGAGGAUUCACACAGCACGGUCAAGACCCUGGAUUGGAUCCCUGGCACUGGUUUGUUUGUAUCAGUGAAAAUACACACUGUGCCUUUGUUAGAAGUUAAUAAAAUUCAGCUGACAUGUAGAUCUUCCUUUCAAAAAGCUAGGCAGGCUGCUUUUAAAAUUGCCAAAACACAAUAGGAACCCUCAAAGAUAUAUGGAGAUGAUGGUAGUUAAUAGGCAGUUUUCAAAGACUUGGCUUAUGUUGUGAGAAGCAGCCCCAGAAGUGGCAAAAGCCAUUCUUGUGACUUCAGCAACCUAAAAACCUCAGAAAUAUGACGAUUCUUCUACCUGUAAUGAUGGUAAGUACCAAAAAGGAAACAGUAUUUACCGUUUCUCUUCUGCCCUUUGAUUGAAAUGUAGAAAUGGUUCAGACUAAUGAGUCUUUGUUUUAAUAAGAUAUUUAUAUGAGUAAUAACCUUAGCUUGAGUUAUGUGGAAGACUGAUGUAUUGAAAGAAAAUAACAGGUUGGAUGAAAAUAGUGUGAAAAAUGGGGCCGAUAUAAUGUGAUGGGUUCUAUAAAUUUGUCAUGUAUUUGAAGUAUUCUAGCCUUCUAUAUAAUGGAUAGUCAACCAAAAUGUGUGGAAAAAAUAUCAGUGUCUUUUAUAAACACUACAAAUUAAGUCUUAACUUUCAUAGGAAAAAAAUUCCAUAUUCUUUAGAAACUUAUGGGAAAACAUUUUACCAGGAAAAAAAAUGUAUCUUUCAGACCUCUUUGAUUAUGGUAAAUGCCACUCCCCAUUUCCUUACAUUGAUACAGAUAGGCACAUCAUUUAGCAAGUACGGUUUGGGGGUUUUUUAUCUUUUUCCCUUGGAGUAAAUCUUCAUUUUACCUAAUAAGAGAACUAAAAUUUUUCAUAUUUUAGAUAUUCUUUCACAUAGAUUUUUGCUGCUGGAUUUCCUACAUGGUUUAAGUAAGGUAAAUGGAACAAAUGUCUCUCAAAAUUUGAAAUCUAAAUGACAUCAGAUUUAAAUUAAUGACUACCUAGAAAAGCAAGCUUUCCUUAUCUUAAGAUCACAUUUCUCAGAUUUUAACAGGCUUGGAUAAUUAAAGGGGCACUAGAAAACAUGUCUUUGCAAGAAUAUAUGCUGAUAAACUAUAUGUGUUAAUAAAUAUAACCAUUUCCAGAAAUUCAGAUAUGCAGAAAUGCUCAUCUGCAACCAGUUUGGUAAGUGGGUAUACAUUCAUAGGUCUUUGAGAAUUUUUGAUGAUGCUGUCUGCAAGAAUUUGCUAUAAACUGGAAUCUUCUGAUUUGUAUUUUUUUAUACACAGCUUUAUUGAAAUGAAAUUCACUUAUACACUUCACCUAUAUAAAGAGUGCAAUCCAAUGGGUUUUAGUUUGCUCAGAGUUUGAGCUAUCAACACAGUUAUACAAAAAAAAAAAAAAACUAUGCAAAACCGUUCUUGUAAGUAUAAGAAAAUAAUUUAGAAUGAUGUUCUUCUAAAGUGGUACUAUAUAAAGCUUACUGUGGGUAAUGUCUUAGAGUCCUUCAAUUAUAGUUGCAAUACUGCAAGUAAAUAGUAUGUUCCUUGUAUGUAAUAAGUGACCUUUACUAGCAACAGAUUAUUGUGUAGCAUAGAUUACUGGCAGUUACAUGAUAUAACACUGUCACAGUUGAGAAUUCUUUAAGGGUGACGCAUACUUAAAUUGAUUGCUUUCUUUUUCUGUGUGAUUAUCAUGCUGGGCAUUAGGUAUGCCUUAAUUGAAUUUUAGUCCCUGAGUCUGUUCCAUGUCCAGUGUUUAUGUUUGUGUCUUUCUAAAACUUGACUUUAUCUUUGCUUUAGAGAUGACUCCUGAGCAUUUUUUUCCAAGCUAGCAUUGUUUCCCCAUGAAGACUAAAUUUUGUUAUGUUUCAUGUAAACUCUGAGUUAACAAUAUAGUGAAGAGUCACCAGAUUUCAGGGUUUAAGGAAUGAAUGAAUGGAAUAGAGCAAAGCAGGUAUCAAAUGAAGAUAAGCGGUUUGAAUCUCUAAAAGAUAAAUCUUGGUAGGGGCAGGUAGAAUUAAAAGGUUUAUUUUAAGUGUUAGAAGCAACAACCUACUUAUUUAAAUAUUUACUUUUAAAUAUUUAUAUACUUGAGUAUUUUGCCAUCAGAAGAGAGUGUCAGAUUGCCGUGGAACUAGAGUUAUAGGUGGUUUUGAGCCACCAUGUGGGUGUUGGUAACUGAACUUGAUCUUUUGAAAAGCAACAAGUGAACCAACUCUGUCCUCUCACAAGAGGAUAUAUCCUCAGACUUUAGUUUCUUUUUUGGUUCUUUUUUUUUCGGAGCUGGGGACCGAACCCAGGGCCUUGCGCUUCCUAGGUAAGCGCUCUACCACUGAGCUAAAUCCCCAGCCCCCAGACUUUAGUUUCUUAAUCCCCUCUUAGAAAGUAAAGUCUAGUCCUAAGUCGUGUACAGUGAUCACGCCCUAAAGCAAUCUGAGGACAUUUAAACUUACUGGGGAAACCCAGCCAAAAAGGCAAAGAAAAGGAUCUCUGAAAUACUUUUGCAGUAAUUUUCUUGCAUAAUACUCAGUGGUUUGGGUUUCUUUCUAAAACCCAGCACUGGAGGUAGAAAGAGGGAAAACUGUGACUUGGAGCCCAGCCUAGACUGUGUGGGGAAUUCCUGUCAAACCAGGAAAUUUUUUCAUUGAAUUCUUUUUCUUUUCAUAAUUGCCAUUUUCAAGUCUUCGCUGCCCAUAUAACCAAACUUGUGUUUUGUGCAUUUUAUAUGACACUACUCAAAAAAAAAAAAAUGUUGUAAGCAGUGACCAUGAACCUUACCUACUGAGUAAUGUCAUCCUAAAGUAUGGUAUUUACACUUCAUUAAUGCACAUCAAACCCAAAUGGGAUCUUUAAAACCAUUAUUGGAGAGAGUAUUAAAUGUUCAGUGAAUGUGACUGGUCUCUGUUACUGACAAUCUGUGAUUGUGUAGAUAUGAAAGAUGCAAAAGGAGAGAAGCAACUGAAGGCGAUGUUAGCCCUCUGUACAUGUCAUCAAUCCAAUUCUAACAGUUAAAAAUUACAACUUUACAUUGCCUGGAGUUAUCUCAUUACUUACCUGUUUUCUCUAGAGAGAUAACUAGAAAGAUAAGUGGGGGGGGGGGGGGAAUAACAGCAAAGACAGUAAGAGUACCAUAGAAUGAAAAACUAGAAAUCAAGGUUCACUUGCCCCGAACAUACACACAUACCUUCCCCACCACCACCACCUUUUUUUUCCAGAGACAGAUUUUCUUUAUAGCUCUGGCUAUCCUGGGGCUAUCUGUGAAAACCAAGCUGGCCUGAAACUGACAGAGAUACACCUCGCCACCCUUUCUUUUCUACUAAGCUAAUUAGGUAACUAAUAACUGUGAGGUGUUCCAGAAUAAGUUUCAAGUUAAGUAGAAAUAAGUUGGUGUUUCUUUGAGACAGGGUUUUUCUACAUAGCCUUACCUGGCUGCUCUAGAACUCACUGUGUAGACCAGGCUGGCUUUGAACCCACAGAGAUCCUACUGCCUCUGCCUCCCUAGGGCCAGGGUUACAGGCAUGUACCACCAUGCUGACAAAAAAAUGAGUUUCUUAUAGCCUGUCAUGGCUGAGGUAAGUAAAUUUUUAGAGGAUAGAUACUUCAGUACUGUGACAGAAGUGGCUUAAAAAGUAUUUGACAUGGGAAGUAAUUCUAUCAUGCAUGAUAGAAUAUGUAUGUCCCAUCCAUUUGGGAGAUGUGAUACGCAGAUCCCUAAAGUCAGAUGGGUCAGAUGGCCGGCUUAAGGAAUAACAAGUGUAUGGGAACUCCAAAAUCCAAAGUGCAAAUAAGACUGUUUGAUUGAUGUAAAACUAAAGUAUUUGUCAAGCCAUUUCAGCUACUAUACAUCAUGGUAGGUAAGUAGAUACCUAUGGUCACAAUAGAUCAGCAGAAAGUUGGUUUUGUCAUCUAGUGUAGGCUUUAGCAAUAGAAGGAUGAGUCUCACUUUCAUAUGAUGUUGGCAUAUUAAUUCUGGGCUUUUACUGGUAUAAAAAUUAUUUGCCUACUUCAUUGAAUUGUCCAAAGAAUUAAGGAAGUAUAUGAAGAAAAGUACUUAAUAUUCCCAACGGCAGUAUUGUGUAUGAUCUUAGGACAGAAUCUGAGGGAAAAACAACUUUAUGCACUAAGAUCCACUAAACUAAAAGUUACCACUUUUAAGCAUUAAAAGUUGACUUUCUGUAUUAUAAAUCCAUGUUCUUUCAGUUUUAACUGUCAUCAAUACUAUAUUUAGUAAUACCCUAUAUAAUAUAUAAAAUCUCUGCAUAUACAAUUUACAGUUAACCAGAAAACUUCCCAUUAAAGAUGGAAAUAAUGAGAGCAUCUGAGUAAUAACUACCCAUUUGGGAGAUGUGAUAUGCAGAUCCCUAAAGUCAGACGGGUUGGAUGGCCUGCUUAAAGACUGACAGGUAUAUGGGAACUCCACAAUCCAAAGUGCAAAGAAGACUGUUAGUGUCUAGACCCUCCAUUCCUGCACUGACUAUGAUGUCAGUUUAGAGGAGUGAGGUCUGAAUCAGUCCUGAAUUUUAAAAUGAUCUUAGCACAUUACUAAGUUCGGAGACAGGCAGACAGAUCUCUUGAAUUCAAGGCCAACAGGAACUACAUAAUGAGAUCCUGUCGUACAAAAUAACCGAAAACACCAACAUGAAUAAUUUACCACCAAAGUCAGAUUUCUCCAUAUAGAUGGUCCUAAUUCACUUGAGUCCCCUGCCCCUACUAGACACCUAUAUUGACCCUAUGGCUUUGUGUUUACAAAUGCUUGUUUUGCCACUGAGUGAUAUGUCCAGUCCUAACUUUUUUUUUUCCUUUUUUCUUUUUUUCGGAGCUGGGGACCGAACCCAGGGCCUUGCGCUCGCUAGGCAAGCGCUCUACCACUGAGAUAAAUCCCGAACCCCCAGUCCUAACUCUUAAUUGUAAGCCUAGUUCCCAGUGUGUCUCAUCCUUGUUACAAUUCCAAGACAGAUACUAGAGCAUUAGAUACUCAGUGAAGCAUAUUGUCCAACCAUGUAAGUAAGUGUUGUUUAGAUUCAGUGGGUAAAUAAUAUAAUUACUUUAGGGAAAUUGUAAAUUGGGGAUUAUUAAUGUGUUAUUAAAACAAAGGUAUUGAAUAAGAAACUGCUCUAUAAUAUACUUAAUAGUGUCAAUAUUUGAACCACAGUUUGAACCAAUUGUAAAUUUUUUAUUCAAUAACAAUUGUGUACUGAGCUUAAGGGCCUGGAGAUACAAUGAUACCUGUGCCCCUCCAAGUCAUGACAUACCCUGUUUCAGUAUCAUGGAUCCCCCCUCCCCUUUCUUUAAGUGUAUAAAGUACAGUGGGUUAAUUAAGGAAGAGAGUAAUAGGGGUUGGGGAUUUAGCUCAGCGGUAGAGCGCUUGCCUAGUGAGCGCAAGGCCCUGGGUUUGGUCCCCAGCUCCGGAAAAAAAAGAAAAAAAAAAAGGAAGAGAGUAAUAAAUCUUAAAUUUUUAAUUGUUACAGAGAACUACAUUUUUUUUUAAACUCUAGGUUAUCAAGUAGUGUCCAGCAGACAUAUUUCAAAGUGCCUGCAGGAAUGUUAUAAGAAAAUGUACUUCAAGACAUUUACUGCUAAUACUGUAAUUUGUUUACAUUAAGCAUUUUUCUUUAUUUUUAAAAAAAUUUAUUUAUUUUAUGUUUGUGAGUACACUGUUGCUGUGGACAGACACAUCAGAAGGCACUGGAUCCUAUUACAGAUGGCUGUGAACCCACAGAUGUUUGCUAGGAAUUGAACUCUUAACCGUAACCGCUAAGCUAUCUCUCCAGCCCAGAUUUUUUUCUUUAUUAUAAAAAGUACAAAUAGAAAAACACAAAGCACACACUGAAAUUUACCAAAUUGUAAUAUUUUUCUUUGAGAUUUUUUUAAUUCAUUUUGAUCAUCCUUUCCUCUUCCCAGAUUACAUUCAGAUUUUAAUAAAAGUCACUAAAAGUAAAGAAUUAACUUAUACCUAGUUUUGGGGUGCUGUCUAUAAGCCUGGAAUACCUUAUGUUCAUUGAUAAUUCUAUGCUUAAAAACUUAAUUCUAAGCUGGGUGGUGGUGAUCCGUGCCUUUAAUCCCAGCACUUGUUAGGGUUUAGUGUCAGGCAGGUGGAUCUCUGAGUUCCAGGCUAUCCUGAUCUACUGACUAAGUUCUAGGACAGCCAGGACUACACAGAGAAAGUCUGUUGGGAGCAGGGGGGACCUUAAUUCUAUUAACUAUUCUCAUUACUGUACCUAAGGCCAAUUAAGGCAAAUUUAGUGGUACCUAGCACAGAGGAGGCUAGGGGAGUAGGAUAGAUACCAGCCUGUACAAUAUAAACCUUAUCUCAACAUUGAAAACAUGGACCUCGUCCCGUUUAAUUCAAAAUACAUAUGAAAUAAAUUUAAGGGGCUGGAGAGGUGGCUCACUAUGGGCUAUCAGUCCUUUUUCAGGCGAUCUAAUUCUUUUGGCCUCUGGGUAUCAAGCACACAAUGCACAGACAUAAGUGCACGUUGUAAAAAAAUUAUUGAGCUGGAUGGUGGUGCACACACCUUUAGAUGGAUCUGAGUUUGAGACCAACCUGGUCUACAGAGCAAGUUCCAUGAAAGCUAAGACUAUACAGCAAAACCCUGUCUCAAACAAAAUCUUUUUUAAAAAAAGAGGUGGGGGUUGGGGAUUUAGUUCAGUGGUAGAGCGCUUGCCUAGCAAGCGCAAGGCCCUGAUUCGGUCCCCAGCUCCGGGAAAAAAAAAAAAAAAGAAUACAUGAAUUUAAGAAAUCUUUCUUCGGGGCUGGGGAUUUAGCUCAGUGGUAGAGCGCUUACCUAGGAAGCGCAAGGCCCUGGGUUCGGUCCCCAGCUCCAAAAAAAAAAAAAAAAAGAAAUCUUUCUUCAAUGGUGAAACAUCCAUUUUAGAAUCAUCCAUUUGUUUCUCACAGCUCCAGUACAGGUGUACUGAAAAUGUGGGCCUGGCUAUGUCUAGUACAUCUGGUAUAUGUUUAGUGAGGGCUUAGUAACACAAGUACAGUGUUGGAGAAUAGUAAAUUCAAGGAGCUUCAUGGAAGCAAUACCUGGGAUUACGCUGCUCAAUAAGUAGACACUGAAGAGGUGGUUUCUAAUAUAAGAAUAUCAGCAUUAUACGGUUAUAAUCUCAACAGAGAACAAAUAGUGACAGUUCAUGUUUAGCUAUCAUUUUCAUUGCUUGCUAUAGGAGGUACCAGUUUUGAAAUUUUAGCACAAGUCCAGGUAACUUAGCAGGUAAACCUGACUUGUUUCAACCCCCAGAACCCACCUUACAAGGAAAACCUCUGUAAAGUUGUUCUCUGACCUUAUGUCUGCCAGCCUAAACUCACAUAUACAUUAUACACUAACACAAUGUAAACCUUAAGAACAAGGGCGCCUGACAGUGUCCUUUAACAAGGAAAGGAGCUGAAAAUAUAACAGGUUUGUUUAACCUUAAAUCCACUGCACAGGAACCGCUACUUGGAUCAAGAAAAAGCAAAAAGAAAAAUUACAUUUUUGAGUAUGUUUUCUGCACAUAUCCCAAAGAAGUGCAGCAACCAUUGUCAUACAGACCUGGUGACAAAAGUUCUGUUUAAAGCACACCAUCUGUGCAUGAUUUCAUUAAACAUACCAGGACUUGGGAAGUUUGAGUUAAGAACUGGCUUGGGCAUUCCAAGAUCAUAUCUCAGAAAACAUCCUGGAUGCUGGGAUUAAAGUGUAACCGUUGAUGAACUCCACUCUCCGCGAAAAAUAAUACCAAGAUUUUUGGAGUUCAUAGCUCACAAUUCAACAGUUCUUAAUCCUUAUACACAUACAGAGAGAUUUUCACAUACUUGUCCAGAAUGAAAAGCAAUGUAGACAAAAAAUUCUCUUUGAACAAACACAAUAGUAUAAGUGAAGAAUGAUUCCCAAGGCCCUCUGCUCCGCAUAGGAACCUUAGAUCAGAAUCUGACCCUAUCAGUACUGAUACUACUUAACUGUGAGUGGUCCUUAGUAACAGGUACUGAGCUCAGUGAUUCCUAAUGUCAACCUAGCGGGACCUGGACUUGUUACAAUACACACAUAGACCACUGCUAAGUUCCAGGAGCUAAAUACUGCCUCGUUGAUCCUAAGCAUAUAGGAUAAAGGGCUUUCCCUUCCAGAACAGUUAAUAUGCCUGGGCCAUGUGUUACUGAAGUACAGCAGAUCUAUCACAGUUUUAAAAACAAUGCUGUCUUUUUCUUUUCCUUUGGAGCUGGGGACCGAACCCAGGGCCUUGCACUUGCUAGGCAAGCGCUCUACCACUGAGCUAAAUCCCCAACCCUAAUACUGUCUUUUUAAGACAGGGUUUUACCUUAUAGACUAGGUUGGCCCCAAAUUUGGCAAUCCAUCUGCUUUUGCCUCCUGAGUGCUAGUAUUAUUUAAGGGGUUACUUUCUGUGGGUUGUAGGUAUAGGUGAGUGCUGAUGUCAGAGGAGGCCAGAGGUGCCAGAUCUCCCUGUACCUAGUUAACUAAGUAACUAUGAGGUACCCAACUUAGUUGUUGGGACCCAAACUUCAGCCGGAUGAUAGAACAACAUUCACAGUUAACCAGUAGGCAUCACCAAUUCCUUGAGAGCUACAUCCACUCCGUCUUCCUGGUCCUAUUUUCCCGCACUCACCACCACCAGGUCUUGAGAUGGAUUGGAUUAGCCUGUAAUUUAGAACUCUGGUUGCCUUCCAAAAGCUGCGAUUGCUGGCUUCUCUAACCAGCUUCUGGCUUCUGUUUUUGUUUAAAAAAAUAAAUAACUGGGUGUGGUGGUACGUGCUUUUAAGUCCUGGCACUGGGGACAUGAAGGUAGGAGGAUAUUCAAGGUCAGCUUGGUGUAGAGUUUCCAGGACAGCCUGGCCUAUAUAAACUCAACCAGUUGUGUUUUUAAGACGGGAUUUCUGUAACCCCAUAGUAUAAUCAUGCCAUGUUUGUAUAUACAAGGCACUAAUUUUGGUCUGUCAAAGAAUCUGCUCUGUAGCCAGGCUGACCUCAUGUUCUGGCCUGCCUCUGCCCACUGAGCGCUCACAGCCACCUCCCUCAGCCAAUUUUUUAAGAUAAUUAGGAAUGAAUGUACCCUUUUAUCACUUGACUAGAAAAUGGUAGUCAACCAAUAGAGGUAGGAAAAUCUUCAAGAUUUAUAAUGCCCUCUCUCCAAAAGCUAAGUACAAAAUCAUCUACUUUCUAACUCCUCUUUCCUGCAGCAAAAGACUUGUUCACACACCAGCAAGCUACAGCUAGCAGCCAGACGGUGUUACAUGAAUUGGGCCUUUUCUUCUGCUUCGCAUGUACACAGUAGUUGUAGCAUAGUUGGUAAAUGAAUAUCUUGUUAAAUAUACAACUGGUGGAUUGCUUAGUCCUUCAAAAUUUGACCUAGCAUUGGAUGUAAUAGACUAGUUUACAACAGGGACACAUAGAACGGCCCAUGUAUUUAGAAGUAAAAUCUCUUAGGGAUGGGAAAGAUGGCAGAUCACUUAAGAGACCUUGCUCUUAUAGAAGUCCCAGUACCUAAAUUUGAUGUCUCACAAAUUUUGCAAAAGUUGCAGGAGAUCUGACACCCUCUUGCCUCCAUGUGCAUCUGCAUGAAUGUGCUGCACGUAUGCUCAAUAUAUGUUAAGGUUUGUGUCAUAAUUCAUUGAGUGCCAUGACCUAAAAACAUAGUUAAGUGUAUCUUGUAAAGAUGUGCCUACAAAAUAUCUCCAAAGUGAAUGGAUGAAAGACAGACCUGCCCUCAGUUUAAUAUAUUUUUAGACUCAAUCUAAAGUGCCUAGGUUGUGUGUGUGUGCCAACAAAAGACGUAGAUUCUCUGGGUGGCUGUGAGUUCCAAGGUAAGUGCUGGAAUGGGCUCUUAACCUCCUAAUACACAAUUUCAAAUUUUAAUGAGAUCUGGGAGAGUAGUAUAAUCAUGCCAUGUUUGUAUAUACAAGGCACUAAUUUUAGUCUUCAGAUGGCUACAUAUAUUGACUGGCUUUUAACUUACAAAGAUCUACUUGCUUAAUUAUAGCUGUAGCAAUUCAUGAAAGGAUAUUAAGGGAUCUGCAUUUACACAUUUUAACAUUAAAACAACAUGUAAGUAAUGGGCUCUGUGAUCAAAUUCUACAUAAUUAAAAGCUCUGCCCUCUUAUUUGUUGACAUAUUUGUGAAAUAAACUACUGAGUCAGGGCUGCAGCUCAGUUGAUAGUGUUUGCAUGAAGCCCUGUAUUUGCCUGCAGCACUCAAGAAAUAAGACAGGAAGAUCAGAAGUUCAAGUAUUCCUCGCCUACAUAGUGAGCUCAGAGUAAGCUACAGCUUAGGCUAUAGGAAACUUUUUUUAAAAGACAAAAAAAAAUACUAAUAAGUUGUACAGUUCUUUUAAAAAUUAGACCAUUUCACAUUCCCUUCUAUACUCAAGAUGUUUGUUUCUUCAGGAAAUAUUCAUCGGAUAUCCACUAGGUGUCAGAUAAUUCAAAGGUAGAUAUUCUUGAGACACCAAGAUAAACAGUUUCCAUGAGAGCCUAGCAAUCUUACAAAGAGUUUAACAGAAAUAGAUCUGCAAACCAAAAGUUGUAUAAGUACUAUCCUGUCAUUCUAAUGGAAGUAUUAAUUUUAUACUAUGAUAAUUCAAUAUCAAUCCAAAUACAUGCUGGCCUAAGCUAUGUAUAAAUGGUAAAUAUUAGAUAAGUCAAGUGGCAAGACAGUGCUAUGAAUAGGAGGCUGGAGAUAAUAAGCUCAAGGUAAGCUUCCAUGGAGGAUUCUGGGAGUAAAUAUCAAUUGAAGCCCAUCACUUUUUCCUUACUCAGUCUGGUUUUCAUUUUGCCUCCUUGGGCACUUGUACCCUAUCUUAAAUUUUUAGCAUUGAUCUUCAUUCUCAUCUAUCCUAGGCCUUCCUACUAAUUUGUCCAUUUCCAUUCCCUUGUUGGUGCCAGCUUUAACCUUGGGUGGAAUAGAUAGAUAUCCUGCUUCCAGAGAAGUAAAAUGAAUUUCUAAAGACAUCUUCCCAGUAAGCGCUCCCAUCAGGGAUGAAAUCUCUACCACUGCAAAGUUACACAGCAAUGCCACGCUGGCUAUCCUGAGCAAAUGGAGGACAGUCUAUAGAGCUCCUUUUUCUGUUUCUUUUAAAAUCUUAUUUUUUUUAAAUUGACAUUCAGUUUCACCCUCUUGCUACAUGGUCCUAUAAAUUUUCAUAAAAACAAGUCAUAAAAGUGCCACCACACUCAAGGUCCAGAGCAGCUUCAUCACACAGAAGUCUCAUGUCACCCCAAAACUUUUGUGGUUUAAAGUCAUUUUCCAGAAAGCCAUAUUUGAAUGAUCCUUUAUUUGUAUUUUUUAACAUAACAUUCAAUUAUACCAGUUUCCUAUCAACUAUUAGACAUUGGAUCAAUGAUCAUAUUUGCCAAUUGUCCAUUCCCACUAAUAGUUCCCAUGGCUUCCACUGCACCUUUUUGGUUUUUUGGUUUUCUUGAUUGGUGGUUUGGUUUGGUUUGGUUUGUGGUGUGUGUGUGUGUGUGUUGGAUUUGGUUUUUGCCAGACUUUGUUCAUUUUCAGCCUGAAGCAUCACCAUUUGUGUUUGACCAUCCUGAAACAUGUCUUAACUUUUUAACAUCAGGUUCUCAUUGCUAUUCUGUUCUCUGUGUAUUUUCCAUAAGGUGUAUUUUAAGGAAACUGCUUAAGGGUUGGUGAUUUAGCUCAGUGGUAGAGCAAGCACAAGGCCCUGGGUUCGGUUCCCAGCUCCGGGGGGUGGGGGGGGCUGCUUAAGAACAUCAAGCAUCUUUCUGUACAGUAUUAUGUGGCACAUCCCCAUACCCAAUCCCAUCAGGUCAGUAAUCUUUAGCAAAUUCACCAUGACAGUACCUCCAGACCACAGUACUUCAGCCCUCUGUCCCUAGUAAUCUAGAUAACACUAUGUAGACCAGAUUGACCUCAAACUCAGUGAUUGACCUGCCUCCUGACUGGAUUAAAGGCAUGUGUCACCAUGCCCAACAUUCCUCAUGUCUUUUGGAGUUAAGACAAUGACUUCUGUAGCAUACAGAUAAGGAAAGAGAACAGCAUAUUUUUGCUACCCAUUGUUAACUCCUAAUUUAAGCUUCUGGGUGUAAGGGGGAAGUAAGAUCUGUGAAAGGCAAAGGAUAUAUUUAUUGGGUUAUAAUUUAACCAUUAGAUACAGAAUGGAAAUCAGAAUUUGGAAAGAAAAUAGUGUCUGGCCAUGGCAUAGCUCGCUCUCUCUCUCUCUCUCUCUCUCUCUCUCUCUCUCUCUCUCUCUCUGUGUGUGUGUGUGUGUGUGUGUGUGUGUGUGAUGUUUUGAGUAAAACCAGAUUCUCAGAGGAAUGAAAGAGAUAAGUCCUGAAGAAGAGUAGCCUCUAAAUCUUUACACAGCCAUAUUCUUAACUGCCGGUAACUUCUUUUUUUGUGUUGGUUAAUUUUCCUGCCUCUUUUAAAAUGUCUUGAAAAGGUCCAAUUUGGUUUGCUUUUGAUGCAAGGUCUCACUUAUAUUGGUUUCAAACUCAUGAUUCUUCUGUCUCUGUUCCCAAAUGUGCUGUUGUAGGUAUGUGCCGCCAAGACUGGCUUGUCUUCUAAAUUUAACUAGAGAUAAAAAUCAAUGAAAUUCUAACAUAAUCUCUUUAAAUUACAUGUGAUUGGAUCUAAAUAACAGAUCUAACUUGAAGUUAGUAGAGGCAGCUCAACUGACUCUCAGUCACGUUUCCAUAAUCUGAGUUCUGUUGGAUCUACAGCUACUGACAUUCUUUUUAUAUUCUUAUGUCUAAAGGUUCUGUUUUUCUGAUUUUUUUUUUUUUAUUCAGACAGGUUUCUUUGUGUAGCUUUGGCUGUCCUGGAACUAGCUCGGUAGACCAGGCUGGCCUUGAAUUUAGAGAGAUCUCUCCUCCUCCCUCUCAAGUGCUAGAAUUAAACAUUCGUACCACUACUACCUGACAAAUUUAGUACCUUUUAUGUGCCAAAUGUUGGGCCUUUAGCCCACAUUAUUUAAGGAUUUUUAUAGUUUGCCAUGGGUGUACAAACAUGGAGAAAUGAUACCAUGCAUUCUUUCCUAUCCGGGAUAACAUAUUCUCACAGCAAAGGCUCAUUUAUGACUUGUUAUGGGAGGAUGCAUGUGACAUGAUAAAUGAAAGUAACAUUUGAAGCUUACCAUGUGUUAGAUACUUUAUACAUGGAAUACUUUUGUGUUGUUACUGUUUUAAGAUAGGCAGCUCUCUCAAACCCAAGUUGGCCUUAAGUUUAAGGAAUCCACCUGCCUUUGCCUCAGUGAGUGCUGGGAUUAAAGACUGUUUUGCCCCAGGGUACAUGGUACAUACCUUCACUCAUUGAGAUAAACAGAUUUCACAAAAGAACCCUGCAUUAUAUUAGAAACAACAUAACUUUAAAAAACAAACAUACUAUAAAUCUCUUAAAUGUCUUGUCCUGUACUAGAGGUGGAAACAAGGCGAGGUAGAUACUCUCUCCACUUUUUAUCUUUAGACAGUUCUUCACUCAGUUGGUCAUAGGUCAGAAAUUUCCUCAGACAGAUCUUGAACUUGUAGCCCUACUGCUUAAGACUCUUGAGAGGCUAAGAUUACUGGCCUGUGCCACCAGACCCAGCUCAGUCACUAGACCAGUUCAGAAUAUUUAUUUCUACUGACCUCCACUUUAAGGACAAAGACAGUGUGGUGCCACUACAUAGUGUUGAAAAAGUCAGGAUUUUCUAGGGUUCUAGAUAUUUUUUAAAGAAAUUUAUGCGUACAAACUAAUGGAUUUCACUAUCAGCAUUUCUGCACGUGUGUGUGUGUGUGUGUGUGUGUGUGUGUGUGUGUGUGUGUGUGUGUGUGUGUGAUUAUCCCUCAUUCUAUUUUAUCCCUCUAUCUUGCCCACCUCCAUUCUCCCUAUUCCCCCUCAGGCUGAUACUCCUAAAAUAGUUCCCCCUUCUGUUUUCAUAUUUCAUGUAUUUUAUAUCAUGUCAAAUAUUCUAUUCUUCCACUUAAGAUCCACCCUCAUGAUCUCCUAAACAUCUCUGUUUUGUUGGAGACAAGAUAUCAUGUACCUUUGAAGUAUACAGUUUUACAGAUAAAGAAAUGAAGACUGCCCACACAUAGACAGCAUAUUUUGGGCUUUGUAAUAAGUGAUCACUCUUGUUUUCUACCUUCUGAAAUCCAGUUGGAAUCCUUUAGAUCUGCCCCUCUGACAUUUUAUUUGGAUGAACAAUGGUGACAAAAAAACAAUUAUCUUGCUUUAUAGUGGAUAAAAAUGGCAGGUAAAGCAAAUACUCUACUUUGAAUAUGGCAUGCCCCAUUAAGUUGUGAGGAUUAAUCUGAUUAAAAGAAAACAGUGAGUGGUACUACGAGGUGCAUGCUUUCUCAUGACCCGUUUGGCCGUCCUGUAGUAACAUUUUUGGAGAUUCUGGAACUUUUGGUUUCUUUGAAAAAAAAAAAAGGAAAAACGUGCUUUUGUUUUAAUCCUAGGUUAGGGAUGUGGGGCUGCUUCAGACUGUUUGCAGCUACUGUCCAUGAUUUGCCUCAUGAUUUAGCACAAGCAGAUCUAGGUUUUGCCGGUUGCAGAUAAUUUCUGCAAUGGUGUGACAUUAGGAAUUCUGGGAACUUUAGAGAAGAUACAUAAAUGCAAGAGCCCCAAGAGACAGGGUUAGUGGUUGUUGGUCAUUUAGGGAGGUUGGUUUCAGUUGUUAGUAGCCUUGGUCAAAGAGGAAACAAAAGUUAAAUUCACGUCUCCUCCCACACACACCUCUCUUCAUCUUUCUUCCUCCUCCUCACCUUUCUCCUCUCUCCAUGUUUCUCUCCUAUCUACUGUUAAGGGGUGAAACUGAAGGGUAUAAAGGAUGGGGAAAAGAACCCACAAAAUAGCGAAGACCAGCUACAACCUCCCUCCCCUUGCCACGGAAUACUUACUGCAGUUUAACCAGAGCAGCUAUCUGCUUACUGAAGCUGGAGAAGCAUUUGCCUAUGAGAACAAGACUGUAGCUCAAGUACAUCUAUGGUGGAAGAAUCCAAUUUGUUUACUGUUCAUAAAGUAUGGAACAGGGAGUCUGCUGACCAAAGGGACUCAAGCUCUAAGCACUUGAUAUGUGCCAGGACCUUUUUAAUUUUCACACCACCUGUAUGUGGAGAAUGCUAGGAUCUCAUUCACACGCUCUGGGCUGCACAGCACAGCAAAACAAUGCUUACUGUGGCUAAAGUCACUGUCCCAAGGGCCUUUAAUGCAUUUCCUAUUUGUUUUUCUCACUUGAUCGUUCUAAACAGCUCAGUAAGAGGCUUAAUAUUGUCACCCCCAACUUGAUAAUAAGAAAACUAAAAUGUAAAGUUAUUCAAUUUGCACAACAAUAAUGCAAAGGUGGGACUUUGACCCCUGGCUGAUUUGACUCCAGAGUCUAUAAUCAACCUCAGUAUUAUCCUUGAAACAUUCAGAAUUGUCAUCAUCAUUUGUAAAGUAAGUGUGGCUGUCACUUCUGUUGUCUGGGAAGCACUCAGGGGAAUCAGUGUGCCCUUUGAGACUUGAUGCCUUCCAUCUCAGAAGAAUCCUUGUGGUAAGAUCAGAUUGGAAGGAUAUGGCAGGCUAAGGAAGGCAGAGGUGGUGUAGUCAGACCAGUUUAGGAACUGAUUACAUCUGAGCCUCUGGCCCUCUUGCCGGCCAGCUGACUCAGAGAAGGCAGAUGGGCCAGUGCCUGGGCAGGAUGAUUUCAAGGCUGUAUACUUCAAAGGAUCUCAUUCCUGGCACUGCUGUGCACAUUGCUUUCUAGAGGGCACAGCCUUUUGGGGGAGGUAAUGCUAGAGUCUCUAGGAGGUAUUUGUAAACGCCCUAGGCAGUGUUUGCUCUGAUUUCAAAUGUAUAAGGCUUAUUUGGGGCUGGCCAAUAAGAACCACAAGGCCAGCUCUAAGCGGGGAUGAAACUUGAUUAUUUAAACCCUUAAUCUGCAGGCAACAAGUUUGUGAGUUCCAGAGUCAGAAAGUCCUGGGUUCUAGUUGUUUUAGCAUUCGAUUGUACAUAAUUACUAGAACUCAGUUUUCUUAUGUGUGACAUUCAAAUUUUUAUUUUUUGAGGCAGAUCUUGCUAGAUAGCUGGCUGACAUGAAUAAACCGUAGAACAAACUGGCUUUAGAUUUGGAAUGAUCUUCCUAUGUUUGUGCUAAGAUUAUAGUAUACCCCACAUGUGCCUGGCUGAAAUUGACCUUUUAUCAGUCCCUCAUAUGGUUGUGAAUAUUAAAGAAAAAUGAGUAGAACUUGCUAAGUAGGGUAUCUGACACAGUAAACAGACUUUAUUCAAUGGAAAGUCAUAUUUGGCAAGAGAAUCUUACAGCUUUAAAAAGUAAAUCAUUCUUUUACUGAACAAACAUCCAAAGCGGGAUGUAGUGUUUUAGGUAAGAAAAAUUAUGAAAAUAACCUCUACUGAGCACCUAAAAAUGAACUAUGUACUUUAUUUCAGGGCCUGUCAUUUGGUUAGGAAGUGUUUUUCAGAUGGCAUAGUAGCCUAAGAGAGACUUAGUAACAUAGCUAAGGUCAGUCUGUACUACAGUCUAUGGAUUUUUCUUAAGAUAUAUAUUGUUGUCUUCAGACACACCAGAAGAGGGCAUCAGAUCUCAUUACAGAUGGUUGUGAGCCACCAUGUGGUUGUUGGGAAUUGAACUCAGGACCUCUGGAAGAGCAGUUAGUGCUCUUAACCACUGAGCCAUCUCUCCACUCCCAAAGUCUAUGAAUUAAGCAGGCUUAUCUCCAGCAGAGCUUGUUAUUUAGCAGGCAGGCAGACACAGUCAAGAAAUUGCUUUCAGGGGGUCGGGGAUUUAGCUCAGUGGUAGAGCGCUUGCCUAGCAAGCACAAGGCCCUGGGUUCGGUCCUCAGCUCUGGAAAAACAAACAAACAAAAAAAGAAAAUGCUUUCAGAUAUAUUGUUGCAGUUUUAUGCUGCACUUUUAGGUGCACAGGGCAGAAAACGUGAACCCUACAGGUAGAGUGAUGGGGAUCUCAGCCCAGGAAUCAGUGCUCACAGUAGACUUUGGGUGGGAAGUCCCAUUAUGUGGUUUAAAACUUUAAUCCCCAACUCCGGUUUAAAACUUUUUAAAGUUACAUUUGUUUUGGAUUGUUUUGUUCUUGUGCUGGUGGUGGUUUUAUGGCUUUUUGGUGGUGGUGGGGGGGGGGGGGUUCCACUGCACAUAUGUGGAGGUUAGAAGAAAAUGUGCAGGAAUCAGUUUUGUUCUUCCACUAUGCAGUUUGGCCCAGUAGUCAAACUCAGGUUGUUAGGGUUAGGGAGAAGUGCCUUUACCCCCCAGAACCAUCUCACUGGGUCUGCCCAACAGUAAAGGAAAAGAUCAGAGGGAGUUCUUUCUAGGACUUCUCACAGAACAGUUUGUAGAUCCAGCAUUAGUAUAAUUGCAGCAAAUUCUCUAAUUCCAGACCAAGAAAAUGUCUCCAAAGAGAUCAAAUUAUGUUGUUUAUUUGAGGUAAAAUAGUGGAAGUCAUGAGAUAUGUAUAUAUCUGCAUCAAAAUCACCUCUACUUCCUCGGGCUUAAGAACUAAACCUGAUAUUGAUAUAGAGUCUCACAAUUUUAAUUUUUUUGGUAGGGGAAGCUUCAAGAUAGGGUUUCGUUAUGUAUCCUUGGGGACUUUCCUGAAACUCACACUGUAGAUCAGGCUGGUCUCAUCGAAUUAGAGAUCAGCAUGGCUCUACUUCCCAAGGCCUGGGAUUAAAGGUUUGCACCACCACCACCACCACCAGGUUAGCAUGGGACUCUUACUGUUCGUGGUUACUAUUCCUGAAUAACACUGCAUUCAUAUACUAGACACUUAGCUGGUAAAAGGUAGACAGUAUUUAAAUCAAUAAUGUCAAAUUAAUUUUAACAUAUACCCACAAUAUGUGUAAGAUACAUCUCAUCUCAAAUUAUAGGUACUUUUGUAGGUAACAUGUUAUAAAAUGUAGGCAAAAACAUUUUAAAUAGGUAGAAUAAAGUUGGAAUAGGUGUGUGUACCAUGCACCCAACAAGAAGAGGCUCACUGUGAGUUCAAGGAUGCCUGGAAUUGAGUGAGGACUUCAGUGAGAUCGUCAAUUAGGUCUGUAACCCCAGCUAUUUGGGAGGCUGAGGCAGGAGGCUAAAAAAAGCUUCAGACCAGUGUGGCAACUUAGCAUGGCCAUCUCAAAAUAAAAAAGUUAGUUUGUGAAAGGACACUGGCAAUGUAGCUCAAGGCAGAGUGCGUGCCUAGCAUGCAUAAGGUUCUAAGUUCAACUGCCCAGCACUGCAAAAGAGCAGAAAAGCAAAGCUCCUACAGAGUAUGCCAACCUCAAUCCAAAUGAGUGGAAAAUUUGUUGGUUAGUACUUAAAUAGGAGACAUAAGUAGAAGUUACCCUCGUACCAUACCUUACUGCCUUAUCUUGUACACUCCACUUAGAAAUCAGUUGUCCAAGUCACAGGACCUGCAGUUAUAUAGUAGGAAUAACAUCCUUAGCAAACACUGGUUCAGAUUCUUUUAUUACUGGCAAAUAAUAAGGGCAUAGUAAGAUUUAUGAGGAAAUCAAAAGAAAUGUGACUGAGCUUAAAAUAGAAAAACCUGGAUUGGUCAGUAAUUUCAAAGAAAUACUAGAUUUAACGUUCAUUCUGCUAUUUACUACACAUGCAACUCUGGGAAAGUAGCAACCUUUUGGCAUAUGGUUUGCUGUGUGUGUGUGUGUGUGUGUGUGUGUGUGUGUGUGUGUGUGUGUGUGU